ACCUCUGUAGCUCAGUUGGUUAGAGCGCUGUACCAGAAUCGCAGCUUCGAUACUUGCCGGGGACC